GGAUGUAAUCAUUCCAGCAGUAAACCAUCGGAGCCCAUCAGAACUUCAAAGUUAAGUGUGCUUGGGCGAGAGUAGUACUAGGAUGGGUGACCUCCUAGGAUGGGUGACCUCCUGGGAAGUCCUUGUGUCGCAUUCC
rnacentral:rRNA from 1 species